GGCCCGGUAGCUCAGGGGAUAGAGCGCCACUCUCCUAAAGUGGGCGUCGUGUGUUCGAAUCACAUCCGGGCCA
rnacentral:tRNA from 1 species